rnacentral:rRNA from 1 species
CCUGGCUCAGGAUGAACGCUAGCUACAGGCUUAACACAUGCAAGUCGAGGGGCAGCAUUUCAGUUUGCUUGCAAACUGGAGAUGGCGACCGGCGCACGGGUGAGUAACACGUAUCCAACCUGCCGAUAACUCGGGGAUAGCCUUUCGAAAGAAAGAUUAAUACCCGAUGGCAUAAUUAGACCGCAUGGUCUUAUUAUUAAAGAAUUUCGGUUAUCGAUGGGGAUGCGUUCCAUUAGGCAGUUGGUGAGGUAACGGCUCACCAAACCUUCGAUGGAUAGGGGUUCUGAGAGGAAGGUCCCCCACAUUGGAACUGAGACACGGUCCAAACUCCUACGGGAGGCAGCAGUGAGGAAUAUUGGUCAAUGGACGAGAGUCUGAACCAGCCAAGUAGCGUGAAGGAUGACUGCCCUAUGGGUUGUAAACUUCUUUUAUAUGGGAAUAAAGUUUUCCACGUGUGGAAUUUUGUAUGUACCAUAUGAAUAAGGAUCGGCUAACUCCGUGCCAGCAGCCGCGGUAAUACGGAGGAUCCGAGCGUUAUCCGGAUUUAUUGGGUUUAAAGGGAGCGUAGGUGGACAGUUAAGUCAGUUGUGAAAGUUUGCGGCUCAACCGUAAAAUUGCAGUUGAUACUGGCUGUCUUGAGUACAGUAGAGGUGGGCGGAAUUCGUGGUGUAGCGGUGAAAUGCUAGAUAUCACGAAGAACUCCGAUUGCGAAGGCAGCUCACUGGACUGCAACUGACACUGAUGCUCGAAAGUGUGGGUAUCAAACAGGAUUAGAUACCCUGGUAGUCCACACAGUAAACGAUGAAUACUCGCUGUUUGCGAUAUACAGUAAGCGGCCAAGCGAAAGCAUUAAGUAUUCCACCUGGGGAGUACGCCGGCAACGGUGAAACUCAAAGGAAUUGACGGGGGCCCGCACAAGCGGAGGAACAUGUGGUUUAAUUCGAUGAUACGCGAGGAACCUUACCCGGGCUUAAAUUGCAUUUGAAUAUAUUGGAAACAGUAUAGCCGUAAGGCAAAUGUGAAGGUGCUGCAUGGUUGUCGUCAGCUCGUGCCGUGAGGUGUCGGCUUAAGUGCCAUAACGAGCGCAACCCUUAUCUUUAGUUACUAACAGGUCAUGCUGAGGACUCUAGAGAGACUGCCGUCGUAAGAUGUGAGGAAGGUGGGGAUGACGUCAAAUCAGCACGGCCCUUACGUCCGGGGCUACACACGUGUUACAAUGGGGGGUACAGAAGGCAGCUACCUGGUGACAGGAUGCUAAUCCCAAAAGCCUCUCUCAGUUCGGAUCGAAGUCUGCAACCCGACUUCGUGAAGCUGGAUUCGCUAGUAAUCGCGCAUCAGCCAUGGCGCGGUGAAUACGUUCCCGGGCCUUGUACACACCGCCC